UCCGCUUUGGCGCUUUGCUUGGGGACAACCUUAUAAAUUGAAAUAGCUGUAUAUAACAUGAUAUUCCAACAGUCUGCAUUUACAGUCUAAAUCGUUCUUACCUUUUUUUACUUCAGUUUGAAUAACUUUGACUGAAUAAGUGCCUGAAAUAUUAACCAGCUUCGCAAAAGCAAUGUUGGCUACUUGAAGCUCGAAACCAGUGGCGCCGCCAGCUCGAUAAUUGGGGGGGGGGAGGGGGUGAAUAUUCAUAUCUUCGUGUUCUGCAUUAUUAACGAUUUUUGAAAUCGAUGGUUUUUAUGGUCUGUAAACACAAAUAUAUGAAUAUUCGCCCCCCCCCCCUAAUUAUCGAGCUGGCGGCGCCACUGCUCGGAACCAAUGUUUGAAGUCUGAAGUCUGAAGUCCGACGUCUGAAGCGCAAAAUACAGAUCCAUACGGAAGGGCCACUUAUGUCGGAAGCUUUGAAGUUUCUGUCCUCGCACAUGUCGCAUUAAGCAUGUUGACCGACACGUUGCACCGCCGAGUGGCCCUUCUGUUACUGAUCUUUAUUCCCAGUGUCUGAAGUCUGAAGUUCGAAGUCUGAAGUCCCUUCACGGCUUCCGUAUGUUUUAGCCCUAAACCAAAGUUAAAUAACUUUAAAUAUUGUUUUCACGAAAUUAGUUAAAGUUAUGACGAAGUUAUGUAGUGGAAAAAGACGAUUAAUAGUAUUCAAUACAGGGUGUCCCAAAAAACCCAAAACUAUUGAAAUAUUUUUAACGUAUAUUGUUAGAAUUUGAAUGCCUCAGCACUUUGCUGAACCCACAUGCAAAUACAUCAAAGCUUGACAUAAAUAAAUUUUAUGAAUAAGGAAACUGUUUAAGAAGCUGCUUUAAAGAUAUUUUAAAGAUAUUUCCUUAAAGAUAUUUUAACUUCUUAAUAAGUCAAUAUUUAAUAUAUGCACCCUGUCAAUAUUUUACGCAUCUUGCGUUCAGCUUAGGGACGGACCAUUAGAAAAGUGAUGGGGGGGGAGGGGAUUUUCUAAGAGGCAAUAUUUUUUUUUUUUGUACACCUAUAGAAGAAAUAUAUUUUUUUUCUCACUUGAUGGUUGGAAAUAUUUUUUUUUUAAGUGAAAUUUAUAGGCCUAUCAGUGGUGUAGUCCUGGAAUUUUAACAAGGGGGGCUCUCCAAAGUGUCCUGAAUUGGCGGGAGGGGUGUACAAUAAGAUAUUUUGGAAAUUCUAAAUUUUGUUGGGGUUUAUUCUAAAAAUUGUGGGACAAACAUUCGACGUUAUUCUUAUUAAAAACAAAGGGGCUGAAAGCGAGGGCCGAAGGCCCGAGGAAAUUUUUAAAUUUAGAGUCUCUGAAAUGCCAUUUCCUGGACUUUGGGGAAGAUUUGACAGAAUUCUGAUGGUCAGAAAACAGCGUUUUAGUAUGUCGAAAUUUACAAUUUAGUAGUAUUAAAUGGGCGAAGGCGUAUUUAGUUAACUAUAUAUUGGAUAAAUUGCAGGAAAUUAUAGGUAAUAUCUUCAUUCUUUGCAAUUUGUCAUGGAUAAUGUACAGCUUACAAUUAAUCAAUUGUCAGUGUUUUAAAGAUAUAUUAUUUAAAUGUAUCGAGUAGCUAAAGAUUUGUCCUUGGCACAUAUGGUAAAGACUCUACAAUGUUUGCCUCUGACCGUAUAGUGAUGACGUAAACUUUAUAUAGGUCUAUGCGCCGAGGGGACUGACCUAACCUUGGCAGCCUAUACUUGCAAUGGGGGGCGGUGAGCUAACCUGUGCCUUGCCUGCGGUAGGAACGAGUGCUGCCUGCUCUCUCAGGCAAAAUGUCUCUUCACCCUGCUGACGAACGCUAGAGGACACAUGAUUUUGUCAAAAGAAUGAUUAUUAGCAAAUUAUUGGGGGGGGGGGCUGCAGCCCCUGUUGAAGCCCCUCCCGUUGAGGCCUACAGCCCUGGAUAGAGUUUAAAUCAGACAAAACAGGAUCGGUAUUUCAACAGCCAAUUUGCUACGGCGCAUGAACAACGCGGUAUAAAGAUUACAAAAAUCAUUAUUGUGUUAAAUGAUGACUGAAAAUGAGAUACAAUUCUAAAGAACAUUCUCGUUUACUGAUAUUUUUGUGUGUGUUUUUGACGUUGUUAAGAUUAUGCAACGCGCCAAAAACAUAGGGGGCUCAGCCCCUCCAAGUCAACAUGAAAUUUUAACAAGGGGUGCUAAGCACCCUCGAGCCCUCCCUCCACUACACCACUUGGCCUAUCUUCUAAGCAAGAAAUUUUUUUUUUUUGCACUAUGCCUGGGAAGAUUUUUUUUUUCUUAAUUUUUUUCUGGAAAUAAAUUUUUUUUUUGGUUUUGCCCCCCCCAUCACUUUUCUAAUGGUCCGUCCCUUAGUGCUAGGGCAUUCAAAUUUUAACAAUACGUUAUUAUACCCUGUACUGUACAGUAUUUCAAAUUCAAAUUAGCUGUAACGUAUUGUAGUAAUUUGACAGCUCUAAUUGCCUUGAAUUAAUGGUUAGGUAAGAACACAAAGAAUACUGUAUUUCUUUUAAAUUUUCUAAUUUUUAUUUCUUUGAGUUUUGUCCCAUGAGUACAAGACCUAGUCUUCUUAUCCAACCAUUAAUUUAAAGAAAUUAUAGCUGUCAAAUUACUACAAUACGUUAUAGCUAAUUUGAAUUUGAAAAACCAUUGAAAUAACAUAUUGUUAAAAUUUGAAUGCCCUGGCAUGCACUAAGCUGAACGCAAAGAUGCGUAAAAUAUUGACAAGGUGGCAUAUAUUAAAUAUUGACUUUUUAAGAGUUAAAAUAUCUUUGCAAAGCGCGCGAUUCUCUGCUCUUGGGAAUUUAAAACAGCUUCUCAAAUGUUUCUUUAUGCAUAAAAUUUACUUACGUCAAGCUUUGAUGCACUUGUGGGUUCAACAGAGUGCUGAGGCAUUCAAAUUCUAACAAUACAUUUAUUUCAAUAGUUUUCGUUUUGGGGGGGACACCCUCAGGGUGUCCCAAAAAAACCGAAAACUAUUGAAAUCACCAAUAACAAUUUAAUUGUUAGAAUUUGAAUGCCUAAGCACUCUGUUGGUUCCCACGAGUGCAUAAAUAAUUACAGAAGUAAAUUUUAUGCAAAAAGAAAGUAUUUAAGAAGCUGUUUUAAAUUCCCAAGAGCAGAAAAUCGCGCACUUUACAAGGAGACGUUCUUAACUAAAUUUUAAUACAUGCACCUUGUCAAUAUUUUACGCAUCAUUACGUUCAGCUUUUUGGUAGGGCAUUCAAUUUUAACAAUAAGUGAUUUCAAUAGUUUUCGGUUUUUUUGGGACACCCUGUACAGUAUAUGGGUCUCCCAAAAAAUGUACCUUUUGAAAUCAAGCCUUUGUCGGAAUUUGAAUGCCUUAUGACUAUGCUGAACCCACGGGUGCGUGAAACAAAAGUUAUACCGGGUGUCUAGAAAAACACUAUGGGAAUUCACAUAGGCGUCGAAAGAUCGAUAAGUGGGGGGGGGGACCAUAUUCAUAUAUUCGUGUUCACAGACCUUAAAAACAAUCGAUUUCAAAAGAAAUUAAUAAUGCAGAACACGAAUAUAUGAACACUUACGAUCUUCGAUGCCUAUGGAAAUUCAACAGGCUGUCGUGCAUCACAAACUUAGCUAAACAGUUCAAUUUUUACAUAGAACGAAAGAGCUGUUAUUUAGCUUUUCUAUGAUACCUAUUUAAAAUCGUAACGAUGAGAAAUGGCCACAUAUAUACUCGUCAAAUAAAAGUUAGUCAAUCCAAAAGCAACGAGAGCCUGCUGCAAGCUAUUUGUUUCGUAAAAGGUUUUGAUUACGAAUGUUCUCUGUUCAGGAGUUAAUUGAACCAUGUGUAAUUGGAGUUCUUAUUGAGUUAUUGUCUCACUAAGACGAACAUUGACGAGUUGAGCUCAUUUUAGAUCAUUUAACAUUCAAUAGUUUAAUUCCCUCUUGGGAAUUGUCUAUGUUUCGUUUUCCGUGCAAUUCCCAACGGUGGCAGAAUGUGAUUUCGACCGGCAAUUUUUAUUUGACGAGUAUGUGGCCAUUUCUCAUCGUUACGAUUUAAAAAGAGUAUUAUUGAAAAGCUAAAUAACUGUUCUUUCGUCGUAUGUAAAAAUUUAAUUCUUUAGCCACGUUUAUAAUGCACAACAGCCUGUUGAAUUUAUGCCGCUCCGUUGCGGACAAAAAAGCGUAAUUAAAAAAUUAUUCCAAACUAGUGUAUUUUAUUCCAAAAAUAAAAAAAUUAAGCCAAUUUUUAAAAAAUGCUUCCAAAAAUGUUUUAAAUCUUCGAUCGGAAAUACAAAAAAAAAAACAUUCGAAAUGAAAAUCUUGUCGACUGGAAGCGGAAGUGCGAACUGCAAAAAAAAUUUGAUGAAAACCGGAAAUUGGUCGAUACAAAAAAAUCUUGUCCAGUGGAAACGCAAUCUCGUGCCCAGAGCAAUGCCUGUGCGCGGGCUAGGAAGGCAUUGGCUCUGGGGAAAUUGACAACCGGUUCUUUGUCGGCAUGCACGAUUGACAAACGUUAAACCAAUCACAGAACAGGAAAAAUUCAAU